rfam:Felis catus isolate Cinnamon breed Abyssinian chromosome B3, whole genome shotgun sequence.
GCCUGGGUGGCUCAGUCAGUUGAGCGGCCGACUUCAGCUCAGGUCAUGAUCUCGUGGUCCGUGGGUUCGAGCCCCGCAUCGGGCU